UGAUCCGGUGGUUCCGCAUGGAAGGGCCAUCGCUCAACGGAUAAAAGCUACCCCGGGGAUAACAGGCUUAUCUCCCCCAAGAGUUCACAUCGACGGGGAGGUUUGGCACCUCGAUGUCGGCUCAUCGCAUCCUGGGGCUGUAGUCGGUCCCAAGGGUUGGGCUGUUCGCCCAUUAAAGCGGUACGCGAGCUGGGUUCAGAACGUCGUGAGACAGUUCGGUCCCUAUCCGUCGUGGGCGUAGGAAAUUUGAGAGGAGCUGUCCUUAGUACGAGAGGACCGGGAUGGACAUACCUCUGGUGUACCAGUUGUCGUGCCAACGGCAUAGCUGGGUAGCUAUGUGUGGACGGGAUAAGUGCUGAAAGCAUCUAAGCAUGAAGCCCCCCUCAAGAUGAGAUUUCCCAACUUCGGUUAUAAGAUCCCUCAAAGAUGAUGAGGUUAAUAGGUUCGAGGUGGAAGCAUGGUGACAUGUGGAGCUGACGAAUACUAAUCGAUCGAAGACUUAAUCAAAA
rnacentral:rRNA from 1 species